rnacentral:rRNA from 1 species
UACGGAGGAUGCAAGCGUUAUCCGGAAUGAUUGGGCGUAAAGCGUCCGCAGGUGGCUAUGUAAGUCUGCUGUUAAAGAGUCUGGCUCAACCAGAUAAAGGCAGUGGAAACUACAUGGCUAGAGUGCGUUCGGGGCAGAGGGAAUUCCUGGUGUAGCGGUGAAAUGCGUAGAGAUCAGGAAGAACACCGGUGGCGAAAGCGCUCUGCUAGGCCGCAACUGACACUGAGGGACGAAGGCUAGGGGAGCGAAUGGG